rnacentral:lncRNA from 1 species
CUGACAUCCCCUCAGCCUGGAGGGCGCCCUCCUGGUCCCCUCGUAUCUGACAUCCCCUCAGCCUGGAGGGCGCCCUCCUGGUCCCCUCCUGUCUGACAUCCCCUCAGCCUGGAGGGCGCCCUCCUGGUCCCCUCCUGUCUGACAUCCCCUCAGCCUGGAGGGCGCCCUCCUGGUCCCCUCCUGUCUGACAUCCCCUCAGCCUGGAGGGCGCCCUCCUGGUCCCCUCCUGUCUGACAUCCCCUCAGCCUGGAGGGUGCCCUCCUGGUCCCCUCCUGUUUGACAUCCCCAGAGUUACUCCUUGGGUCCUUUGAGAGAUGAGACACCAGCUGCACCCAGCAAGCCCUGUCCCCACCCCCAGCCUGUGCAAUUCUCGUCAACACAGAACACCUGCCUGCCCACCCCCGGUGCUGAAGACCGACCAGUCAAGGAGGUGUUGGUGGGAGUGUUGUGUUCACCAUGUGGAGAUCAGGCGGCGAUUACCGCAUCUUCUUUGCUGACUUUGGUAACCGGGUGUCCAGGGAGGAGCGAUCGGGAGUGGCCAAGCAGUUGCCUGGACUCAGCUUCUGACUCUGCAGCUGGGAGUCAGAUGCAGGCCCAAGGGUCCAGGGGAGUUGUUCAGCGCCUGGAAUCGCCAUGCAUUGCGCGGUGGACCGCACGACGCUCCUGCUCUGUUCUCCCAGGCACAGACAGGCACUUGGAAGGCAGCUUUGCUCCUCUGGCCACCCGGAAACCUCCCAGCAGUUCAGAUGGGACAAACUGGGGGCCUGUCAGAACAGCCACUUGUGCCGGGAAGGCCAGGCCCCGGCCUGCUCCGAUGAACGUCAGGACGGUGGCUGCAGCAGGGAACCAGGGCUGGCCUUGGAUCUGUCCAGUAGGGUCACUGACUGGGCAGGGCUUGCUGCAUAGAGGAUGGCUGCAUUUUGUGCUCAGAGUUGGUUGAAAUGGCUACGAAGUGUGGAGAAUAACCACUGAAUCCCAAAAAGUCACUGCGCUUGAUCUGAUCCAAGUAACAGUGACUGCAGUUAGGGUCGAGAGCUUCUCCGAAGCAGCGGUCAUGCAGGCUUUUGUGUGGCUGACGCUUCCCUUUUUCACAACAGUAAAAAGCUAUCAAUGGGAAAUUGUGGACUUUUCCCACCAGGGACUCAAUGGGGACUCAAUGUGCAAUAUUCAGUCAACAUAAAACUCUUUAAGAACUCC